GGAUUGAACGCUGGCGGCAUGCCUAACACAUGCAAGUCGAACGGGAGUAGCAAUACUCUAGUGGCGGACGGGUGAGGAAUACGUAGGAAUUUGCCCUUAAGUGGGGGAUAACCCGGGGAAACCCGGAUUAAUACCGCAUGACCUCGAAAGAGCAAAGUGGGGGAUCGCAAGACCUCACGCUUUUGGAGAAGCCUACGUCGGAUUAGCUAGUUGGUGAGGUAAUGGCUCACCAAGGCGACGAUCCGUAACUGGUCUGAGAGGAUGAUCAGUCACACCGGAACUGAGACACGGUCCGGACUCCUACGGGAGGCAUCAGUGGGGAAUAUUGGACAAUGGGCGCAAGCCUGAUCCAGCAAUGCCGCGUGUGUGAAGAAGGCCUUCGGGUUGU
rnacentral:rRNA from 1 species